rnacentral:rRNA from 1 species
AUACGGAGGGAGCAAGCGUUAUUCGGAAUCACUGGGCGUAAAGGACGCGUAGGCGGGUUUGUAAGUCAGGUGUGAAAUCCUACAGCUCAACUGUAGAACUGCACUUGAAACUACAGACCUAGAGUAUGGAAGGGGCAGAUGGAAUUAGUGGUGUAGGGGUAAAAUCCGUAGAUAUCACUAGGAAUACCGAAAGCGAAGGCGAUCUGCUGGGACAUUACUGACGCUGAGGCGUGAAAGCGUGGGGAGCAAACAGGAUUAGAAACCCUGGUAGUCC